CUCCCGGGAGAGAGCGGGUAACCAGCCCCGCCGCCGAAGGCGCAACCGCCCCGGAAACGCUCAGGCAAAAGGACCGGGGGAG
rnacentral:ncRNA from 1 species